CCUCGUAUAAUAUAAUUAUAUCUAUUGUCGUUUCAACCACCAGCUGAAAAUUUUUAAUACAUUUUGUAACGAGCAGUGAUUUCGAUGUUUUUUACAUCGAAUAUGUGUUACUUGCAUCUAUCUUUUUUAAAGAUGGGAUAUCUUUGUAUUCUGCGUCCAUUGUCUCAAUGAUUAAAUUUCUCUGUAUGUCAUCGCUGAGAAUAUCCUGCAAUCAUCGUUGUUUUUCAAGUCCUUUGAUUAUUUUUAUAGUUAUAUCUGUAGAAGUUUUUCGUCGUCAUCUUCUUCUGUCGUAUCAAAUAAGAUUGAUGCCUUGAUCAGACACGCAGCCUUACUGUAUGGUACAUAUCCAUCCAUCCAUAAUUAUCCAUAAUGAUUGGCGGUCAGCCUUGAAACUUGAGAUUUUUCUAAACUUGUGAGAUGAUUCCGAGAAAAAGGUGGUCGAAAGACGUAAUGAGAGAGAACAGUUCCUUUUCUCUAUAUCACUAUUUCUUUCACAAUAAAUGCCUUUCGGAUGAUGAGUUCUUGCAAGUCCACAAACGUUUGCGCGAUCAUGGUGAAAUAUUCUUUAAUCUGAACUGUCCUGAGCUGUUUAAAUACGGACAAUUUCCCUCCUAUUGCAUUUUUUUCAACACGAUGUGGUAUUAUAUCUGUACUUUUAUGUUAGUUGAUUUUGCGCAUUAGGUUGGUUAGUGGACUAUAUUUAACUACACAAUCAUGCAAAAUGAGACAAUAAGCUAUAGUAUUCGCUAGUAUAUUCUCUUUACAUUCAAAUUCUAUCCGCAUAUUCACAGUGAAGCUCUUAAUGAACUAAUUUUGAUGCGAACAAUCGAUAAUCACGAAAGGACUUCGCUGCAGAAAGUCGGCAGGUGUUAACCAUACCUCAUUACUGUUGCAUCCAUAGUAUGAUUUACGAAAACGUCUAUAUAUAUCAUAAAGUAUCAGCAUAAGCAUAUCUGGUUUUUGCAAAAUCUAAAUUCAUGUCAUUGUACGGAUAACAUUUUGAAUGCAGAUAGAGUUUUGCGUUGGUCAAAUUGUAUUUGUGGAAUCGAAUUAUAUCUUCCGACAUGACAUUCUUCCGACCAAUCUGCAACAUGAAGAUAACGUAUGGUGGUGAUUUUUCCAAAUUAGUAGUAGUUUUGAUAGCCCACAGGUGUUUGGUCGUGCUUUGCACCAUAGGAAAUUCAUACAAGUCUCACAAGCGGAAACUCUUACUUAAGUAUCGUCCGUUCUCCAAUUUUCUCAGCAGGGAAAGUUUAUGAAUAUUAUUCAAGAUUAUGUGGGGCAUUCGCCAUUGUACCUUGAAUAGCCCAAUCUUAGACUACACGCUGCAAAUCCUAGUAGACAUUUGUCAAUACGUGAUCGUAUUAGAAUCAAUUUGCGGCGUGCGUUAACCACUAUACGCUUAUAUUCUUUACAGAAUCCUAGCAAAAUGUUGAGCGGUACGUAAAAGUUGAAAUAUUUAUGUAGCAAAAUAGCUAUCAUAUCCUAUGCGGCAUUUUUCAUGAUAACACCUUCGUCCGAAGAUAAUGAUACAUAGUUUUUGAGCGUGGAAGUUAUUCCAAUGUUUCUGUUACGAUCACUUUUUAUACUAUCCAGUUCAUAACAAAUCUCAUCAAACAUGAAUGCAGCGUAAUUAUUUUACAAUGUUACAGACUCAUUAUCAGCUCUCCUGUGUAUAGUUAAUUUUCUCUCGACAUAAAGAUAACUCUCACUAGACAAUGUGUAUAAAUCCUACAGUUGUAUGUAUUCGUAUUUUAUCGCUAUAUCCAAACGUUGUAUUGGAGUAUGGAUUGUACGUAUGAGUCUCAAUCUUGACGAUCCGAUCAUCGAAGACCGGUUCACUUUCAAUGUUCAAAAUGUCAAUCAUCUUGCUCAAUUAUUUCGCACAAUGAACCCCAGAGAUUUCAAAAAUUCAACGUUUAAUGCAUUGAGUUUCUUUCGUGUAGAGGAUUUUGUGCUGUUAAUCGUAUGCUUCGUAAAAAAAAUGUAUCUCUCCCUUGCUUCUCCUGUUCCACUUGAUUCAUCACAAGCAUCUCAUAAAUCACACCUAUUAUUGUCGCCGUUAUACGUGUAAUCUGAUGGUAAUCUUUUCUUCUUAAAAAUCCAGCAAUUGUCCUUCUUGAUCCACGACAGACACUGUUAAAUCUGUAAUGUUUCGUGCAAUGAUAAAUGACAUACACCGGUGUUUUCGAUAUCUUAUAUCCUGAUGACACUCUAAGCAAAAAUUUAUGUAUCGUAUGUACGCGCGUAAUGUUGCUGUCCUUACCACGACAACGCUGCGUUCUGUACGAAUAAUAUUCAUGUUGAUAAUCUUAAUCAAUGCAUCCGAUUUGUACCAUUAUUGUAUUGUAUGGUUCUAAUAUACGAUUCGAUGAAAAUCCCAAAAGCGAAACAACUAUGAAAAUUUAAUUUCACGAUCAUUGCCACCAUCCCAUUUUGUUAUAAUUUUUACAUCUACAUGAUUUCGAACAUUUUUCAUAAUUUUACCAAAUAAUGCGUUGUUCGUCAAUUUGUAUACAUUUUUCUCAAAAUCAUUUGUCGCAUGUGUUCUAAAUUGCGUAUUUAAUUCGACAUAAUCGAAAAGCCAUGGAGAUUGGACGAAUUGGAGUACACAGUGUAUCAUUCUAGUACGAAGACCAUGACGUGUGCACUACUGUAGAUUGCGGUAAUGGAUAAUAUAACACUGUUUAUCAUAUAAUGUUGCGUGUAACUUAUCCUGUCUUUUGCUAGGUGGCUUUGCACGGGUUGGACAGAACGGUAGAUCGGAAUGAGCAUCGUAUAAUCAUUGCAGAUGCUUUAAAUCGACAUCGAGAAUGUAAUUUAUUGGCGAAUCUAGUGCAAUUGAAGAUAUAUCAAAUUUUGAAAUAUCAGCGACCCAUUGAAAUUUGACGUAAGACUUGCGCAUAUCUACCGGAAUAUUGACUCAAGCCACUGCGAAUACCGCGUCCGAUAAACAUGACCAUAUCGAUGUGGACAUAGGAAAGUCAAUUUUCUGUAGAUAUUGAUUUGUAGUGUGAAUACGAGGAUAGUCGAUCUAUGCGUUUUUUGGCUGGGUGUAGAGCUGCGACCACUGUCCACGCGAAACACGCAUUGUUCGUGGAUUGCACAUUCAUCAUUGCUAUUUUCAGCCGUAUCUCGCGUGGUAACUCAAAAUGACAGCCCGCGUGUAUCGGAUUGUAUUUGUUCACACUAACCGUCAGAUCAAGUAUUUGCAACAAUGCCCACCCGUUGUCACGUUCUUGGAAUUCUUCCAAUGACGCUAAGCGCUUAUUGAAAGAAAAAGUGUUUAUGGGUAAAUCGUGUUAAAAACAACGCAAUGGUUGGAAAAUUGUCCGUAUUUGAGUAGCUCAUACACAUUACAUCAGUCGCUCUACAAAAUGUUCUACAGACAAGGUGUGAUUCAAAAUGUAUACCAACUGUACUGGAGGGAGACGCAAUAAUAAUUACGAUCCCAUCAAAGAAGAUGAAGCAUUUUUAUGCAAGAAGUAUAAAUGUGACACUCUUACGAUUCAACUAUCAGACCGUUUCGAGCAGCUCGUAUUUUGGGGAUGAAAUACACUUUAACAUCCACAUCAUAUAAAUAUCUAGAAAUUGGAGUCAGCGCAGGACCUGUCUCAUUUGUAGAAAUUGCCCUUGGCGAUAAUCGCGGCAAUCAACUGAUUUUGCCUGUUUCAAUGUGGAGAACGCUGAUUCAAAAACGUGUAAACACCGAGCGACAUAUAAAGUCAACGGAAUCUCAUUCUUCACCGAUACGGAUUCGAGUGUUAGCGCUGGAAUUUUGUAAGAUGCACGGUGAUAAAAUUAUAAAGCUUAUUUUGUUAAAUAAGUUUAUGUAUUUAAAAUCGGAAACAUUGAAUAUGUUACUUGAUCUCGACCAUUGCAUCGAUCAUAUGUAUUAUGGCUAUGUGAAAAUACGCAUCUUGUUGAUAUGAAAUUUAAAAAAAUUUGUAAACGCCUUGCAACAGAAUAAUAUCGCCGAUAUAUGUUACAAGCCUGAGAACCUCGAAUUGUGUUACGCCGCUAAAACGAUACGCGAGAGCGACGAUUUCGACAGCGAGUCUCUUGACUGCGAACUGUUGGCAUGUGCCUUGAAAGAUAUUGUGCACGAUGCUAUUGCAAAUGAAUAAAAUUUGGUGAAAAAUAAA